AGUGAACGCUGGCGGUAGGCCUAACACAUGCAAGUCGAACGGCAGCACAGUAAGAGCUUGCUCUUACGGGUGGCGAGUGGCGGACGGGUGAGGAAUACAUCGGAAUCUACUUUUUCGUGGGGGAUAACGUAGGGAAAUUUACGCUAAUACCGCAUACGACCUACGGGUGAAAGCAGGGGAUCUUCGGACCUUGCGCGAUUGAAUGAGCCGAUGUCGGAUUAGCUAGUUGGCGGGGUAAAGGCCCACCAAGGCGACGAUCCGUAGCUGGUCUGAGAGGAUGAUCAGCCACACUGGAACUGAGACACGGUCCAGACUCCUACGGGAGGCAGCAGUGGGGAAUAUUGGACAAUGGGCGCAAGCCUGAUCCAGCCAUACCGCGUGGGUGAAGAAGGCCUUCGGUUUGUAAAGCCCUUUUGUUGGGAAAGAAAAGCAGCAGGUUAAUACCCCGCUGUUCUGACGGUACCCAAAGAAUAAGCACCGGCUAACUUCGUG
rnacentral:rRNA from 1 species